AAGAUUAAGCCAUGCAUGUCUAAGUAUAAGCAAUUAUACAGCGAAACUGCGAAUGGCUCAUUAUAUAAGUUAUCGUUUAUUUGAUAGUGCCUUACUACUUGGAUAACCGUGGUAAUUCUAGAGCUAAUACAUGCUACAAGCCCUGACUUCGGAAGGGGCGUAUUUAUUAGAUUAAAAACCAACGCCCUCUGGGCUCCUUGGUGAAUCAUGAUAACUUCACGAAUCGCAC
rnacentral:rRNA from 1 species